UGUGGGUAAGUUCUCCAAAUAUUUACUGUUAAGUGCGUGAGAUUAAAGAAGGUAGGAGGCCACUGGCACAGAAUGAGAAAGUGCCCAUCCAUCCAACAACAUGACCGAUGGGUUAUAGAAGGCGAGUCCAGCCACCAGAGUACCUCUGGGUACCACUCAUUCACACUCAAUCUCAAAUGAUGAGCUGUGCGUUGAACAGCAGGCAGUGAGCUGUAAAAAGAGCAGCAGCCCGAGAGGUCAGGGCCUGGCACCCGGCCUGCCUUGUGGUGGGAAUUUGGAUAAAUCCAUAUCUCGGGCUUCAUUUUCCUCAUCUGUAACCCAAGGUGAGCCUGGUUUCUUAUUCUCUUGUGCUUAGCAUGCAAAGUAAACUAACUAGCCUCAGGAACGUUGGCUGCAGCCCUCCCCAGAUCAACCCAGGAGUCUCACCUGACCUCAUCCCGGAUCUACUCGAUCUCCAGUUCUUACACCUGAGGCUCACGAGACCUACUUUCUAAGGGAAAGCACCUUUCUAAGAACUGGAGAGAAAGACACCUUCCCCGCCAUAAGUGUCUCACCCAGGUGAGGAGGAGGACAACAAUUA